UCGGGUUGUAAAGCACUUUUGUCCGGAAAGAAAACUUCUGCCCUAAUACGGCGGGAGGAUGACGGUACCGGAAGAAUAAGCACCGGCUAACUACGUGCCAGCAGCGCGGUAAUCGUAGGGUGCGAGCGUUAAUCGGAAUUACUGGGCGUAAAGCGUGCGCAGGCGGUUCGUUAAGACAGAUGUGAAAUCCCCGGGCUUAACCUGGGAACUGCAUUUGUGACUGGCGAGCUAGAGUAUGGCAGAGGGGGGUGGAAUUCCACGUGUAGCAGUGAAAUGCGUAGAGAUGUGGAGGAAUACCGAUGGCGAAGGCAGCCCCCUGGGCCAAUACUGACGCUCAUGCACGAAAGCGUGGGGAGCAAACAGGAUUAGAUACCCUGGUAGUCCACGCCCUAAACGAUGUCAACUAGUUGUUGGGUCUUCAUUGACUUAGUAACGUAGCUAACGCGUGAAGUUGACCGCCUGGGGAGUACGGUCGCAAGAUUAAAACUCAAAGGAAUUGACGGGGACCCGCACAAGCGGUGGAUGAUGUGGAUUAAUUCGAUGCAACGCGAAAAACCUUACCUACCCUUGACAUGGUCGGAACCCUGCUG
rnacentral:rRNA from 1 species